CCCCGCGCCCCGGGCCUGUCGGCCUCCGCCGCGCCUCCCGGGCGGGUGGCUUGGGCAGGGGCCGCCGUCUCCCGCUAGAGGGACCCGGGCUGCCUCGGCGACCGUCUCGCCCCAGCGGACGGCAAGCGCCUCCGGAGCCGGGACGGCGUCCUCGGCAUUUAGGUCUGGCGCGUAGUGGGGCCUUGCGAGAGGCUGCCAAGGGGAGGGAGGCCGAGGUGGCGCGGGCCUGGCGCUUAGCGGGUGCGCCCCGAAUGUCUGCGGGCCUUGGGGACCUGCCGGCGGGCUUGGGGCGGGGAGGGCGCAGGCUGACGCGUCGCCGCUGGGAGAACCUUGAGACCCGCCGCGAGCAGAGCGGAGGACCGGCCAGCCGGCGGCCGGGGCUGGAACUGGGAGCCGAGUGACUGGGGGAGCCCCGGCCGUGCAAGCCUGAGAUAACAGAUUGAACUUCAGACAAGGCCGGACUACCCUGUUAACCAGAGGCAACUUUUCAGUUGAAUGAACAGAAGCACAGACUACAAUGAAAGGGGAAAUGUAUCUUGAUUGUGACAGUACACAGAGCCGUCUUACCCACCCCUGUUGGAAUACAAUAGGAACAGUAGGUACCACCCCUUUCUUCUACGCCCAAACCAAUGAGAAGAUGAAAAUAACUCCAUCACCCAUGGAGCUGAACUGAAGAAUGUGGCUUUCCUGAUGACUUGUAGACUAUUUAAUAUUCCCUGACUUAAAAUUAUCUCCCCCAAAACUCCAACCUUCACCUCGAGGGGGCCCAGCCACUUUAACUGUCUGAUUAGAGAAGAUUGCCCUCUCUGAGGGCAGACGGAUCCAAAUUCACCAAUGAGAUCUCCUGUGCUACCUCCCACUGGCUGUACCCAAGAAGAAGCCUGAGGGCAAAUGAGCACAGAUGACAUUGCCCUUCAAGGCCAGCGUCUGGAAAAAGAUGGAGGGUAGAUCUGGAAGGACAAAGGCAGAGCAUGUAGCAGACAGGCAGAAAAGCCGACACUACUGAGGGAGAGGAAUUCCUGCCAGCUCUGAGGAAAGGAAGAAAAGACUCGGAAGAGAGGUGAUUUCAAAGUAACUGCCUAAAGAACAGACCUCAUUUCUUCUUGCCGAGCUCCCACAAGCAGGGAACACAGAGAAAGCCGAAACCAAACCACAGCCCAAAGGGAACUGCGCAGCGUUACGUUCAGGUCACAAGCUGGGGCCAGAGACAGAAACUGAGAGCUGCGGUGAGUAACUGGGCCAACAGGACCCAAGGUCAGGAUACAGGGCGCAGGCCCUGCUGCCUCACCGAAGUCCCAGCCCCAGAGGUCACACCAAAGGCAGAGGGAAAAAUGCCAGGGUUCAAGGGCAUCUCGCAGACCAGGAAAGGACUGAAAAAAACAGCGCUGAGCAGAAGAGAGGUAAACACCUGGCCCCGCUUGCAAACUGACUUUUACAUGCGCACAAGUGUGAUGUAAGAAAAUAAAAAAAAUUAAAAAGGG